rnacentral:pre_miRNA from 1 species
GUCUUUUCCAUGUGCAAGUGUGUUCCUCUGUUUGGCGCUAAAGGUUCAUGCUCUAAAUGAAACACUUCCAAGUGUUGUUGUUUCCUUAAGUAGUAUUCUUACCUUUAGCGUCAAGAGACGAACACACUUCCGCAUAGAAAGGGAU